rnacentral:rRNA from 1 species
AUCUGUACUUUGUCUUACUUGAAUCUGUAUUUAAGAGUACUUUUUAGCAGGCUCAGGCUUGGUUAGUACUUGGAUGGGAGACCAUCUAGGAAGACCAAGUACUGUAGGCA